UGAGUACAGGCCUGCUGCGAUGCUGAGGUGUAAUUCGUGGCAAGGGCCCGGGAAGUUGGUGCGCUAUUGAGCAGCUAUCUAAAGCAAUCCCAACACUGCCCCCGCAACGGUAAAUUGGUUAAAGCGAUUCCAUUAACCACUGUGUCACUGACAUGGGAAGGUGAAUCGCCUGAAAGUGAACCUUUCGCCAAUGAGUCCGGAUACCAGUCUGAUAAGACAAUUACCA
rfam:Oceanospirillum sp. MED92 scf_1099521380394 genomic scaffold, whole genome shotgun sequence.